rnacentral:tRNA from 1 species
UCCGGGGUCGUUCAUCCGGUCAGGACGGCGUCCUUUGAAGUCGCAGAGGCAGGUUCGAGUCCUGCCCCCGGAACCA